UACGAAGGGGGCUAGCGUUGUUCGGAAUUACUGGGCGUAAAGCGCACGUAGGCGGCUUUGUAAGUUAGAGGUGAAAGCCCGGGGCUCAACUCCGGAAUUGCCUUUAAGACUGCAUCGCUUGAAUCCAGGAGAGGUGAGUGGAAUCCGAGUGUAGAGGUGAAAUUCGUAGAUAUUCGGAAGAACACCAGUGGCGAAGGACGGCUGC
rnacentral:rRNA from 1 species